AUUGAACGCUGGCGGCAUGCCUUACACAUGCAAGUCGAACGGCAGCGCGGGAGCAAUCCUGGCGGCGAGUGGCGAACGGGUGAGUAAUAUAUCGGAACGUGCCCAGUAGUGGGGGAUAGCCCGGCGAAAGCCGGAUUAAUACCGCAUACGACCUGAGGGUGAAAGGGGGGGAUCGCAAGACCUCUCGCUAUUGGAGCGGCCGAUAUCAGAUUAGGUAGUUGGUGGGGUAAAGGCCUACCAAGCCUGCGAUCUGUAGUUGGUCUGAGAGGACGGCCAGCCACACUGGGACUGAGACACGGCCCAGACUCCUACGGGAGGCAGCAGUGGGGAAUUUUGGACAAUGGGCGCAAGCCUGAUCCAGCAAUGCCGCGUGCAGGAAGAGGGCCUUCGGGUUGUAAACUGCUUUUGUCAGGGAAGAAAUCCUCUAGGCUAAUACCUUGGGGGGAUGACGGUACCUGAAGAAUAAGCACCGGCUAACUACGUGCCAGCCGCCGCAGUAA
rnacentral:rRNA from 1 species